AUAAUAAAAAUCCAUCCCACCAAUAAUUCAACCGCCCCAGCCCAUGCCCUCUUCUUGACCCGUCCCUUUUUUUCCCUUUUCACAAGGGAAUCCAGAGGCGUACAGUAGCAAAGACGAUUUCAACUCCUCCAACAUCUACAACAAGCAGGAGUAAGGACGCCUGAAGAAACGACAACCCAUGGUGUCCCCCCAACGGCUACCAAAAAGUGACAAUAGAAUGUGUCGAAUCCUACGGCGCGAGAAACGCAAGGAACCAGACGCACCUCAGCGUCUACGUCCCCUUUUGCUCGUACAACAGUGUCUUUCCCCGUGCUUUGAACCUCUGAGAUAUUCGUACUUGAUUGCGUGGAUGGAUACCACGUCGAGGGCAAGGACGAACGACUACGUCCGCGUCGUUCCUUGACCCGAAUUUCAUGGGAUUUGGCUGCGAGUUUGUACAAAUGAGUAGCUGGCGUCGCCCUUGAGCGUUUUUCUUCAGGGAUUUUGAAUUUUUUGGAAUCAUUUUCAAAAUCCCAACUUUACCCUUUUCUCUCCCAUUCCGAAAACCCUAAAUCUCCUCCUACAAAAGAUUUUUUGUUCUUCAUUAGGAGGGUGGGAGAAUUUUAGAGAGAGAGUUGAGAAAAUAUUGAGGGGAUUUUUUUUUUGAGUUAGAAAGUCUACGGAAAAAUAUACACACCGAAAACGCGUCAAACAAAAUGACUAAGAAUACUUGCUAACUACAUUAAGGAAACCAGAGAAAAUAGUAGAUAGAUAACUCUAAUACAAGUUCUAUUCUGCCAUUUUCGCCCGCCACAAGUUAGUCCAAGAUUUCACCCGGUUUGUUGGUUCAUUGUUGGCGUUCGGGGUCGCGUGGUGGAGGAACUUUGUCCUACUCGUUGUUGUCCAGAUCCUGCACUCCAAAAGGGAAGUUAGGCCUCCGUUUCGUGCUCGAGUUGGUAGCUCUCUAAUAUUAACUCGUUUCCGUCUUAUGUUACAAGAAUGAAAUCUACUCCUUAAAGUUCAUUAUUUAUAGGUAUAUUUACUCUAUAAGUUUGUGAUUUUAGAAAGGAAUUUUACCAAAUCUUGUGUAUAUUAUUGGUUUGUAUUUAAUGCUCCUAUCUGCCCAACUUUCUCAUUUUUAUUUUUUUUUUGCCUUUUUGAUAUAGCAUGUUAUUUUAUUUCUUCAUUUAUUCUUUUUUUUUUCUUUUUGAUUGUCUACUUUAUGGGGUGUUAUUCUCAGGACUUUCAUCUUUGAUUUAAUUGAAUACAUGACAUAUUGAUCUUUCCUAAGGUGCAAAUAUUUUAGGUCACUGCUUAUGCUUUGUGGGUCAUAUGUACCCAUUUUGUACAAGUCUCGUUUGAAAAUAUUUGAAUUUUUCUUUUAUAAUAUUUGUUGUAUAUCAAGCUCAGACUAGUAAAUGUUAAACGAAUUUCUUUUGGAAAAAUCUAGUUUUGGACAUUAGUGCUUCACAGCUCAAAUUAGUUGUCGCUAUCCUAGGUUCUUCCAUUGUUUCGUCCCGAGUUUCUUUGGGAACUUGAGUUUAUAGAUGAUAGGAUUAUUUUGACCUUCGUCAUCCUCAAUAUCAUAUUAGGUUGCUGCCUGGAUUUGUUUUAGUCGCAACUUACUGUUUAUUAGAGUUUAUUCAAAGUCAACUUUAUGCUUGGUAGAAAGUUUGUGUGAUUAUUUUAUUGCUAUCAUUACAAUAAAUGCUAAUGCCUUAUUCAUAUUCUUUGUCACAUGUGAAUCCGAGUCCAUGGCGGACCAUUUCCCUCUUACAUAUUUGGAAUGAGCCAUGAAGGCUCAGGUUUCAUUCAUCGAGUCAAUCCACAAAAUUGACGAACAGGUCCUCAAAGUUCGAAGGAUAUGAAGCCAAUGAAUGAUUUGAAGAAUUUGGGCCAAAAUGCCCACAUUUCGUUUUAUUUUCAAUCUUUGUUGUAUUUUGUUCUCUUUGGGCCUAAGCCCUUGUCGUCUUUCUUUUUUCGCAAUUACUAUUAAAUUGUAUGUGUAGUUUAGGACAGGUACAAAGUGAUAUGGGCCAAGGCCCAACACUAAAUGGUUCCAAAUACUGGUCCAGGCGGACAGAUAACCCGGAUUUGGACCCAAC